AUACGUAGGUGGCAAGCGUUAUCCGGAUUUACUGGGUGUAAAGGGAGCGUAGACGGAAGGCCAAGUCUGAUGUGAAAGCCCGCGGCUCAACUGCGGGACUGCAUUGGAAACUGGUCAUCUGGAGUGCAGGAGGGGUAAGCGGAAUUCCUAGUGUAGCGGUGAAAUGCGUAGAUAUUAGGAGGAACACCGGUGGCGAAGGCGGCUUACUGGACUGUAACUGACGUUGAGGCUCGAAAGCGUGGGGAGCAAACAGGAUUAGAUGCCCUGGUAGUCCACGCUGUAAACGAUGAUUACUAGGUGUUGGGGACCAAAGGUCCUCGGUGCCGCCGCAAACGCAUUAAGUAAUCCACCUGGGGAGUACGUUCGCAAGAAUGAAACUCAAAUGAAUUGACGGGG
rnacentral:rRNA from 1 species